GCAGACUCCCUAUACCGCUAAUGUAACGCUGCCAUGGCUACACAGGGACACGGCCGCCACUACCAAAGAGGACAAAAAAGACACAAAGUACCCGGAUGUGCAAUACAGCGUUGUGUUGAGUGAACCAGAUUUAUCCAACUACAUACAUAAAUGUAAUUUUUCCAGACAAAACCAAACAUUACUCAUUGGAGAAAUGAGUUAAAACUUUAUUAUGAAAAAAAAGUGACUUGAUGAAUAAAUGAAAUA